rnacentral:rRNA from 1 species
CGACCGUGAAAACCCGGGGCUCAACCCCGGGACGCCGGUCGAAACUGUUGUGACUAGGGUCCGGUAGAGGUCAUUGGAAUUCUCGGUGUAGCGGUGAAAUGCGCAGAUAUCGAGAGGAACACCAGUAGCGAAGGCGGAUGACUGGGCCGGUACCGACGCUAAGGAGCGAAAGCGUGGGAAGCAAACAGGAUUAGAUACCCUGGUAGUCCACGCCGUAAACGCUGAACACUAGGUGUGGGGGACUUAUCCACGUCCUCCGUGCCGUAGCUAACGCAUUAAGUGUUCCGCCUGGGGAGUACGGCCGCAAGGCUAAAACUCAAAGGAAUUGACGGGGCCCCGCACAAGCGGCGGAGCAUGCGGCUUAAUUCGAUGCAGCCCGAAGAACCUUACCUGGACUUGACAUCAUGGAUCUACCCGUGGAAACACGGGGUGCUUUUGCGUUCAUGACAGGUGGUGCAUGGCUGUCGUCAGCUCGUGUCGUGAGAUGUUGGGUUGAGUCCCGCAACGAGCGCAACCCCUGUCCUAUGUUGCCAGCACGUAAUGGUGGGGACUCAUGGGAGACUGCCGGGGACAACUCGGAGGAAGGCGGGGACGACGUCAAGUCAUCAUGCCCCUUAUGUUCAGGGCUGCACGCAUGCUACAAUGGGCGAUACAACGGGCAGCGAUCCCGCGAGGGUGAGCGAAUCCCUUAAAAUCGUCCUCAGUUCGGAUUGGAGUCUGCAACUCGACUCCAUGAAGCGGGAGUCGCUAGUAAUCGCGGAUCAGCAAAGCCGCGGUGAAUACGUUCUCGG